rnacentral:lncRNA from 1 species
ACUUCACCUACUCUCGACUUCCGGCUCUACAGUACCGAACUCGACUUCCACCACACUCAACCUUCUCUAAACAAUUUAUUAAACAGUAAAAUCUAAACUCUACUUUCUUUAUAAUGGGUUAGAAUUACUUUAUUUAUAAUAAAUUAAGAUUAUCUUUAAAUAAUAAUAAAAAAUUUAAUUAUAUAAUAGGUUAAAUUUUAUAGUGAUAAAUUUAUUACUAUAUUUAGGAGAUAAUGGGAUCCACUUACUUACAUCAAAACAAACAACGGAACUUAAAAAACUAAUUUUACCAGCACCAAGUUACAUCAAAACAAACAGCAGAAGUGAUUGAAUUUAACUUUCAGUGGUACGAGUUACGUCAAAACAAACA